GCCCACUAGGAGGCGCCGAAGAGACCGCUUGCGCGGGUUCCGCCCGGGGAGCCGCCGCUCUGGGCCGCAGCCCGGGCCCUGACUGCAUUUCCGCCGGCGCCCAAGCGAUGAAGGGCGGGUCCUGCAUCCGAGGCAUCCCCGAUCCAUCCAGCAUCUUCUCGCGCAGUCUUCUUCGACCCGCUGCCACAGUCCCGGCGCCCCAGGCCCUGCGCAGAUGAAGACCCUCCCUCGGACGGCUUUGCGGGCCCUGCCUCAGCCGGCGCCCCCUUCUCUCCUGCAGGACCCGGACCCGCGCUGCAGGGGCUGAGUGCCCCCUGGGUUGGCGUCUGAGUCUUGCCUCCCCGUAGGCUCAGUACCUGGCACGUGUCCAAGGCUCAGCAGCUGUACCACAACCACCCAACAGGAGAGAAGGAAAGGAGAGGUGCACCCCGGGGAUGUGAGGAGGCAGCACCGGGCAGAGGGGCCCUUGAGAGAUGUCACCAUCCUGUUAAGAAAGGGCUGGACCACAGCACUGCAGAGGCCUCUCCUGUCUGGGCCACGGGGAAGGCUUUGUGCAGGACUGGAAGCAGUUGCUGGGUCCUUGGGCUCCACUGGGCUCACUACUCCCAGGCCUUUUCCAUGGGCCUCCUUUUCCAGCAAGCCCCCGUCUUUCCCUGCCC
rnacentral:lncRNA from 1 species